ACGCAUCUUAACAUACUUCAAUGGUGAAAACCAACGAGGGCGUAGGUAUACUUCUGGCUUUUUGUUUAACGUAAGUUCUUUUUUCUUCUCUCUCUCUAUCUCUCCAAUAAAUGACAUAACAUCUUAUGCAGGUGCAUUCUUAGGGGAUUUCGGCUUCAUCGAUGUCCUUAUUGGAUCAGGCCCUCUAUUACUGUCUCUGAUCAUAAUGGUGUGUUGUGGUAUUCUUGCUAUGUUUUGUUUUAUUUUCUUAUUUUAGAUUUUUUUUUACACUUGAUUUUUUAAUAGUGGCCAGUAGGCCUCAUGAUGUGUCUCAUUCUCCUAAACCUAUCAUGAGCGCUCACUUAUUCCUAAACCUAUCACGAGCAGAUUGAAAUGAUUCCUGAACACUUCAUUUGGAUGGGGGGAUAGGAAAGGAAAAGUUUGAGGGGUAAGAGCUAUUCCUUGUUUGGGUUUUUAAUUAGGUUGGAAAAGAAAGGAUAACGGCGGAUUAGUUAUCUCUUCGAACUUCAUUUUGUUUUCCCAUCAAAAUUGAGGGAAUAAGAGUUUCAUCUCCCUCAACAUUAUAACCUAAUUUUUAAAUAUGACUAUUCUAUCCUUAGUACUUAUAAUUUUUUCCUAGUCCUUGAAACUUCCAAAUGUGGGAAAUUAUUUGACCUCUCAUUUUUUUUUCAUAUCCCAUCACAUGGAUUUUCUGAUAAAAACUCCCACACAUAAUGGAAGUUACUCUUUUUUUUUUUUUAUUAUUUGUUUUGGCUUGAUCUGAUUUAUGUGAUGGAAUUAUCUGUGUUUAUGUACUUAUCAUUUUAAUUGUUGAUGCAAACCCUUUAAGUUGCUGUCUGUUGGAGCAUAUUGAAAAUUUUAUGGGGUAUGGACUUCUAUGCAAAAUACGUCUGCCUCAUGAGUAGCCAUGCAACUGUGACAAAAAGCAGUUUAUUUAUUUGGUCAGUGGUGAGUGAAUUAUUCUAUAAGGAUUUUUUAACAAUAUGUGAGACACUGAGGUCCAAAAGAGAUUGCAGUGAUGAAUCUCUCAAACAUUAUAUAGAAAACUGCUUUCAUAGACUUGAGUGUAGGCCCUCUUUAGGUAAUGACUACUAGUGCAUUGAAGCACCCCAAAUAUUGAGGCGGCUUCAGCCAUGGAAUUACUCGUGCACAAAUAUGAAAGGUAUACCAAGAGAAUAAUGAGUGAAAAAUGUAGAACAAAAGCGCAAGUUAAAUCAUCUUUGCAGUACUCUGGCGUGAAUGCACAUGAAAUUUGUUAUAUUUAUCAAUAAAAGCUUGGGUGUCCUUUGACAAAUUCCUUAUCAACAGGUGUUCUUUUCUCCACAAAAAAGCAUCCCAGAACCGUGGAUUUGUCGGUAGGUCUUCUUGAGUAUUUGGUAGAUUUGUCAUGCCAAGACUCCAUUAAAGCUUAUUUGGACUUUUGGUUUUGACUCUGAAUUAAAUUUUAUGCUUUUCUUUGGAUGUGUUUUCACCUAUAUAUAUUUCUUUCUGCAGCCAGAAGACUAUUGGUUUAGUGCACCAAAGAAAGGGGUCAUGGUCUUUGCUUUGCCAGGGGAACCUGGUCUGGCAGAGGUGGCUGGAGACUUUAAAGUCCAUUUUCAUGACCGCCAAGGAGAUUUUUACUUUUGGUUAAACACAACAAUGAUGGAAAACAGAAAGGUUUUAAAUACCAAUGAUAUUGAUGGGUUUGACAAGCGGAAACUGCCUUCCCCAGGAUUCCAGGUUGAGGUUGUGCUAGUAGAUUAUAAUGGCGCUGCUCCAACAGGGCCAAACAGUGAAACUGCUGCUGAGAAGUCAAAUGAAGGUUCAAGUGCUGCUCCAGCUCCAGUUGAUGCGAAUGCAGCUGCAGCUGCUCCAAAGCAAAAUAAAGACCAGGGAAAUGAUAAAGAUGAUGUAUUUUCAGACAGUGAGGCAGAGGAAUCUGUUUCUUCAAAACUAAGGAAAGCUCAAGCUGCUUCUGCAGGAGGAGGAACUGCCACCACAGCCACUUCUAGUUCUGAAACUAAUACUAAAACAGAUCAAGUUGCAAGUUUAACACAUGCUACCGAACAAUUUUCUCUUGGAAACACAGGCUUACAACAGGUGCAUGCUGCUAGUCAGCCAAAAAGCGAUGCUGUUGGUGGAGCUGUUUCAAGCCUGGGGGCUAACAACUCAGAGAGUGAGUUCAAAGCAAUGGCUGCUGAUGCUUCUGUUUUCUCUUUUGGAGAUGAAGAUGACUAUGAAAGUGAGUGAUGAAAGAGAAUGCCGAUGCUUUCAUUGAAGGAUCUGUACAUAAAUUGGCUUGCAAGUUAUAGAUGCACCAUUGGUGUUGGUUCAAUCCUUUUUAUUUUUUUUAUUUUUUCUUCUACUUUUUACGUUGUAAAUGUAUGUUUCUGGCUUAUCAGAUGUCUUUGUCAUAGUGGGCUGAAUGAACGAAUCAUUGUUGCAUUAAAUUGUGGUACGAUUUGUUUUGUUACUUACAUUGAUAAGAUGUACAUUAUUGGACUAAUAUUGUACAAUUCUGUUUCUGCAUGUUUUUUCAGACCUAAUAUGUUGAAGUUAAAAC
rnacentral:misc_RNA from 1 species